AGCGAACGCUGGCGGCAGGCUUAACACAUGCAAGUCGAGCGCCCCGCAAGGGGAGCGGCAGACGGGUGAGUAACACGUGGGAACGUGCCCUUUGGUUCGGAACAACCCAGGGAAACUUGGGCUAAUACCGGAUACGUCCGUAAGGAGAAAGAUUUAUCGCCAAAGGAUCGGCCCGCGUCUGAUUAGCUAGUUGGUGGGGUAAUGGCCCACCAAGGCUACGAUCAGUAGCUGGUCUGAGAGGAUGAUCAGCCACAUUGGGACUGAGACACGGCCCAAACUCCUACGGGAGGCAGCAGUGGGGAAUAUUGGACAAUGGGGGCAACCCUGAUCCAGCCAUGCCGCGUGAGUGAUGAAGGCCCUAGGGUUGUAAAGCUCUUUUAGCAGGGAAGAUAAUGACGGUACCUGCAGAAAAAGCCCCGGCUAACUUCGUGCCAGCCGCCGCAGUAACAC
rnacentral:rRNA from 1 species